CGCGGGCUGCCCGGCGCGAACGCCUGCGGGGAGGGCGGCCUCCUCGCCCGGCCCGGCCCUGCCCUGCCCCGGGGGCGGCGGCUCGGCGCAAGUCGGGCGGCCCUGGGGAGGCUGCGGGCGCGGCGUCUGGAGUUUUGAGGCAAAUCGAAGCGAGGGUCUUUCAGGCGAAGUGGCUAGACGUCCCAGCGGGGACAAUAGGUGUCAAGCGGCCGGCGGGGCGGGGCGGGGCGGGGCGGGGCGCCCCGGGGAAGGGCCGGCGGCCGGGGGUCCCUGGGGCGCGCGCGGGGCCGGGGCCAGAGGGCUGGCCUGUUAGGAGUCCUAAAGCUCCGGACUCGUGUGAAAACAGCCUUCAGCUACCUUGAGGAAGUGCUGUGAGGAUGUCUUAAGUAGGGCGUGUUGACAAUUGCCAGAUAGAUGGAAAAGGACCGCAAACUCCAGUCGCUGAUCUAGGAAGGAGCAGUGGCAUUCCAAGAUGGGAGAGAAAAUGUUGAGAGAAAUUUGCUGAGGAAAGAAUCCAAGCAGAGUGGUGACUGGAAGGAGAGUAGCAGAGGAGAUGAUCGCAGAGGAUAUCGCACAGGGUAGUCACACUCCAUUAAGACGCUGCUUCCAGAGGAGACUUUUCUCUAGGCCCUUCUUGUCUAGACCGCGUGCCUCUGGCAGUCCUGUCCUGCUGCAAGACCCGUGUUCCUUGGCUUUCUUUGGAGUCAGAGCUGGAGAUGCUGCUUCUCCUGAAUGCGGUGCUAACAUCUACCUAAAGAAGAAAGAGGCCAGUUCUUUAGGACGGGGCAAGUUGGUUUGACGAGAGAAAGAGAAGAGGUGAUCAUGUGACAAGAAAUAGAUGGUGUUUGAAGCCAAGAAGUGAGAAUUAGUGAGAUCUAUUGAGAUUAAAGCAAAGAGAAGAGAACCUAGGACAACAGCAACAUUUGAAGGAAAGUCUUACACCAGACAACUUUGAUGGAGGAAGAAGUGCACGACCACGACCACAGCGAGAGGGUGGGCCCCUGGAACCCGGAACGUCCUGCUUACUCCCACGGAGCUGGGCUCAGACUGUACGCAGGGCUCCUUAGAGGUCAUGCAGAUCGGGGAAAAUGGGCAACACUCAUUAAGUGUUUCGUGCCUAGAGUACCUGCUGCUGGACUCCUUUCAUCCCUGUGGAGCAGGCCCCUUCACCAGCUUCAUCUUACAGAGCUCACGCUCGUAACUAAUGGCGCAUACAACCGUUUUUACUCCACAACGCACGUCCAAACCUAACCAACACGUGAGAAACGCAGCCUGAGUCUCAGAAGCAAGAGCAUCAACAAAGAAGCUGCCUAAACAAGUGAAACCAAGCCUGCAGAACUGCAAGGCCACAUGUCUAACAGACGUGAUAAUGACUGUACACCCUCUCUAUUCCUUUCUUCACAAAGGGCUGACCCACCCAUGUGAAAACCUGCCGGGGACCUCAGCCUUCAGCUCUAGGAUUUGUUUCAGCAUUCCCCUUUCUGCCUGGUUAGGUCCCCGGGCCCUUGCUGUCAUCUUCUGAGUACGUUUUUCCUCCUUCUGAUUCCAUUUCUUAACUCCAGAUUCGGGCCCUCCACACUUCUCACUGUACCCAUUUCAACAUGCCCUUUGGGCUCUAGCCAGCAUUCCCUCUUGGAAAUGAUCUUAACACGACCUUGUGGGGCCACAGGGGAGAGGCUUGGCUUGGCUCCCUGCCUGGGCCUCAGGCUCUGCCACACAAGGAGACGCCCACUCUCAGGACAGCGGAAGAGGACACACAUUCACAUUCGUAUAAAGCUCAUUGUUUACAGAACAUUUGAAAAAUAUCCUGUGGUGUUUUUAGGAGAAGACAGAGCAGGUACUAUUUUCUCCAUUUUUUUUUAAAUGUCACAAACAUUUCAAGCAUACAAGAGAAAUACACAUAUAGAGACAUCCAUGAACACUGCCCAGACUUGACACAUUUACAUUUAUUUUUCCUUAAAGAAAUAAAAUGUUACAGAUAUGAUUGAAUAUCUUCCCAUCCCAUUUCCCCCCUCCUUCCCCAGAGAACCCACGAUCCUUAAAUUGAUCUGAAUCAUGGCAUCCAGGUUUUUAAAUUGUCUGUAUCUAUCUAUCUCUCUACCUGGAAUCUGCAAUGGAUACUAUUGUUCUGUGUUCCUAAAACUUUGACACAAUAUCUUACUAUAUGUAUCCUUUUGCAACUUGCUUUUUUUUUUCAAUUAGUCUUUUUUUUAAUUGAUUGAUUUUUUUUUUUCAGAUUCAGAUUUGUGUUUGUUUGUUUUCCCUUUGGAAUCCUAGUUGGGUUUUUUUGGCAGUAGCAUUGGUUUAUAACAUUAUAUAAAUUUCGGGUGUCCAUCAUUAUAUUUCAGUUUCUGUGUAGAUUGCAUCAUGUUCACCACCCAAAGACUAAUUACCAUCCAUCACCACACACAGGUGCCUAAUCACCCCUUUCGCCCUCCUGCCUCCCCGCUUCCCCUCUGGUAACCACCAGUCCAAUCCCUGUCUCUGGGUGUUUGCCUGCUGUUGUUUGCAACUUGCUUUUUCAGUGUUUUGUUUCUAAGAUUUAUCUUUGUUGAAACAUGUAUCUAAGUUCAUUUAUUUCACCUACUAGAGUGUCUCUUUUUGCUGUAUGCGUAUACACAUACAUAUGUUACUUAUCUAGUUUCCUACUGAAAGAAAUUUACAUAACUUUCUUUUUUGCACCGUUUUGAAAGAUACUGCAAUGACCAGUGUUGCACACUGUUCUUGUAGACAUGUGCUGGACUUUUUCUAGUGCAAAUUCCUGGAAGUAGAAUUGCUAGGUCAUAGGAUAUGUGCAGAACUACAAUUUUAGAAGACACUGCCAAUUGCUCUCCCAAGAGGUUGUACCAAUUUGCAUUUCCAUCAUCUGAGUUUGAGAAUUCCCA
rnacentral:lncRNA from 1 species